UAAAGCUUCUAAAGGAUUAGGUAGUUGUUGUAGUAAUUAUUCAACACAGCUAGAUGCUUAGCUGGUUUGAGAGAAUGAUCAGCCACAUUGGGACUGAAAACGGCCCAAGUCUUUUAAAGGGCAGCAGUGGAGAAUAUUUGACAAUGGGCGAAAGCCUGAUCGAGUAAUGUUACGUGGGUGAUGAGAAGGCUUAAUUGCCGUAAAACCCGUUUCGUCAAGGAUUAUAAUGCAAUCGUACUUGAAGGAGAAGCCCUGACUAACUUCGUGCCAGCAGUCGCGGUAAUACGGAGAGGGCUAGUGUUAUUCGUAUUGACUGGGUGUAAAGGGUGCGUAGGUGGUUUAUUAAGUUUCAAAGAAAAUAUUAAGCAUAGAGCUUAAACGCUUUUUAAUACUAAUAGACUAGAGUUUAAAGGAAGAUAGCUGAACAUUAGGUGUAAAGGUGAAAUUUUUCGAGAUCUAAAGGGCAGUCAAUAGGCGAAGGCUGCUAUCUACUCUAAUACUGACACUGAGGCACAAAAGCAUAGGGAUCAAACAGGAUUAGAGACCCUGGUAGUCUAUGCCCUGACCGAUGAAUAUUGAUUAUGCAAUUGCGUAAUUAAGCUAACGCGUAAAUAUUCCACCUGAGUACUACGACCGCAAGGUUAAAACUCAAAGAAACUGACGGAAGAUUGUAUAAGCGGUGGAGUAUGUGGUUUAAUUUGAUAUAACGCAAAGAAUCUUACCAACCCUUGAAUAUAGGUUAUUUCGCUGUUUAAUUUUGGUUUUCUAAAAUUAAACAGGAAAGUAUGGAAUUGCAUUUUUAAAAUGUUUUUUCAUUGAUCUAUACAGGUGCUGCAUGGUUGUCGGCAGUUCGUGUUGUGAAAUGUUUUGUUAAUUCAUUUAACGGACGCAACCUUCGGCUUUAUUUGUUUUAAAAAAUAGAGCAAUUACUAAUUUGAAAAUUACUUGAAAGGAGAGGAAGUCAAAUCAUUAUGGCCUAUAUAGGUUGGGCUACACACGUACUACAAUGGUAACUACAAUGUGAAGCAAGAGCGUGAGCUGGAGCUAAUCAUUAAAAGUUAACCUCAGUUCUGAUUAUUCUCUGCAACUCGAGAAUAUGAAGUCGGAAUCGCUAGUAAUCGCAGAAUAGAACGCUGCGGUGAAUACAUUCUCAAUCUUUGUACACACCGCCCGUCACGCC
rnacentral:rRNA from 1 species